ensembl:lncRNA
CUCAGCCAUUUAUUUUAUUGUCCUUUUUAAAUAGUUAUCUUUUUGUUCAGAAACACAUUUCAUAAUCAGAUUUGAUACAUUUUAGUUAAUGACAUUUCAUACAUUUUAGUUAAUGAAGUGUUAGAAACAUGUCACAAAGUGUUAAAAAAUGUUAGUAAUUUUGUCACAAUAACAAACUCACAUAGAUCUGCUGGAAUAAACAAGUUAUGACAUAAUGACCAGGUAUGCCAUAAUGACCAGGUAUGCCAUAAUGACCAGGUAUGACAUAGUCACCAGGUAAGCCUAUCAGGGAUGACAUAGUCACCAGGUAAGCCUAUCAGAGAUGACAUAGUCACCAAGUAAGCCUAUUAGGGAUGUCAUAGUCACCAGGUAAGCCAAUUAGGGAUGACAUAAUGACCAGGUAUGCCUAUCAGGGAUGACAUAGUGUCCAGGUAUGCCUAUCAGGGAUGACAUAGUCACCAGGUAUGCCUAUCAGGAUGACAUAGUCACCAGGUAUGCCUAUCAGGGAUGACAUAGUCACCAGGUAAGCCUAUCAGGGAUGACAUAAUGACCAGGUAUGCCUAUCAGGUAUGACAUAAUGACCAGGUAUGCCUAUCAGGGAUGACAUAAUGACCAGGUAUGCCUAUCAGGGAUGACAUAAUGACCAGGUAUGCCUAUCAGGGAUGACAUAGUGACCAGGUAUGCCUAUCAGGGAUGACAUAGUGACCAGGUAUGACAAUGACCAGGUAUGCCUAUCAGGGAUGACAUAGUGACCAGGUAUGACUUGGUCACCAGGUAAGCCUAUCAGGGAUGACAUGGUCACCAGGUAAGCCUAUCAGGGAUGACAUAGUCACCAGGUAAGCCUAUCAGGGAUGACAUAGUCACCAGGUAAGCCUAUCAGGGAUGACAUAGUCACCAGGUAAGCCUAUCAGAGAUGACAUAGUCACCAAGUAAGCCUAUUAGGGAUGUCAUAGUCACCAGGUAAGCCAAUUAGGGAUGACAU